rnacentral:rRNA from 1 species
GACGAACGCUGGCGGCGUGCUUAACACAUGCAAGUCGAACGGAAAGGCCCUGCCUUUGUGGGGUGCUCGAGUGGCGAACGGGUGAGUAACACGUGAGUAACCUGCCCUUGACUUUGGGAUAACUUCAGGAAACUGGGGCUAAUACCGGAUAGGAGCUCCCGCUGCAUGGUGGGGGUUGGAAAGUUUCGGCGGUUGGGGAUGGACUCGCGGCUUAUCAGCUUGUUGGUGGGGUAGUGGCUUACCAAGGCUUUGACGGGUAGCCGGCCUGAGAGGGUGACCGGCCACAUUGGGACUGAGAUACGGCCCAGACUCCUACGGGAGGCAGCAGUGGGGAAUAUUGCACAAUGGGCGGAAGCCUGAUGCAGCAACGCCGCGUGCGGGAUGACGGCCUUCGGGUUGUAAACCGCUUUCGCCUGUGACGAAGCGUGAGUGACGGUAAUGGGUAAAGAAGCACCGGCUAACUACGUG